AAAUAAACCCGACCGACAGCGUUAUCCCGAUCAGAACGGAUUUAAUUCACACGUUUUGUGCUAUCGGGAUUAAGCAAAGGGCGGGACUACAG
rnacentral:ncRNA from 2 species